rnacentral:sRNA from 1 species
UUGACAGCCUCAGAGGUCAAUGCCCUUUCUUUGUCCAUAAACCAAGUGCAGAGAUACCAAGAGCUCAGAGUUCCCCAUCCUGCUCCAAACUCUGUUCUGAAGGAACCAUCCUUAUGGGAUAAGAUGUUAGUUUACUCUUCAUGCCCAUUUAAGCAAUAUUAAGU